CUUUGAUGGCCAGACUUUUGGCACAAUGGUCACUACCCAUACCAUUAGACUGGGGGUUAUACUGGUUUCUGUAGAAAUUCUAAAAGAAUUUAAAAUGUGAUUUUAUCCUCCCCCUCUUGCAGAGACCUUUGUUCCUUCUCCAGACUGUAAAUACCCAAAAAAAAUGAAUCUUUACUCAUCUUUGUUUCCUUAUUUUUGAGCCAGAGUGAGUUAAUGAAUAUGGAAAAGCCUUUCAAAGAUGAUCCUGGAAAGCAAGGGGGAUUAUGCUCGAUCUACUUGUUUUAUUUGAUGUAUCCUGUGCUAACAGCCAAAGAAAGUCCUGAAAGCUGAAGAUAUUUUGAAGAAAAUGUACACUAAGAGGGAAGAGUUUCAAUGACGCCCUUCACCUCUUCUGUGCAAAUGCUUUGAUCUUAUUGAUCCUUAUACGGGGAAGUUUGUUUUGUAUGAUUUGAGCAAAAGACCUAUAGAACGCAGGUUCGUAAGGAAAGAUCAAGUUAUAAGGGAAGGUGAAUCAGUAUAUUUUGAUGGACAUUUAGUAGAAGAAGGAGAACCUGAAGGAAGUCAUCACUCUCCAGCGAAGUUAAAUGAACGAGGGACUGGCAAUAAUGUUGUUGAAAGGAGACAACUAGGACAUGGGCACAAUGGCUUUCACAAGGGCAAUCCAUCUUUGACUAAUUCAAAAAUUUCUUUUUCAAUCCGUAUAGUCUGUACUACUAUUUAGUUCUGUGCAUGUCAUUUGAAUUUAAAUUUAUUAUUAUCCCUUGCAUUUUAAUUGUAACCCCUUGGCCCUUGAUCUCAUUAUGAUCGUUAGAAUACCUUGUCCGUUGUAUA